UACGGAGGGGCCUAGCGCUGUUCGGAAUUACUGGGCGUAAAGCGCACGUAGGCGGAUUUGUAAGUCAGGGGUGAAAUCCCGGGGCUCAACCCCGGAACUGCCUUUGAUACUGCAAAUCUCGAGUCCGGAAGAGGUGAGUGGAAUUCCUAGUGUAGAGGUGAAAUUCGUAGAUAUUAGGAAGAACACCAGUGGCGAAGGCGGCUCACUGGUCCGGUACUGACGCUGAGGUGCGAAAGCGUGGGGAGCAAACAGG
rnacentral:rRNA from 1 species